GGGGACUGGUGUUUUAGAAAGGUUGGUCACGGACAGCUGGUGACAGCUGGUGACAUUUAAGGAGAUAUCUGCUUCAAAUCAUAUUUGAAAAGGGUAAUGAAAUGGGGGUGAAUUUUUUUUCACUUGCAUUAUGGACUGAAUGCUUGUGUUCUCCCCAGAUCUGUGUGUUGAAGUCCCUCCCGCCCCCUGUGCCACCAGGUGAUGAUCUUUGGAAGUGGAGCCUUUUAGAGGUAAUUAGGUUUAGACGAGGUUCAAGGUGGGGGCCCCCCAUGAUGGAAUAGGUGCUCUUAGAAGAAAAGAAGAGACACCAGAGCUCUUUCUUGUUCAUUCUUGUGAGGACACAAGAAGGCAGCUGUCUACAGGCCAGGGUGAGGGCUCUCACGGGGGUCAAAUCUUCUGGCAUCUUGACCCGGGACUUCCUGGCCUUCAGGCUGUGACAUCUGUUCCUCAAGCCACCUCGUCAGGGGUGCUUUCUUGCUCAAUAAUAUAGUUUGAUUUUCGUCUUGCUGAGUUAAUGUCCACUCUUCCUCAUUUCAGAACUUCUGGAGAUGAGCUUGAGAAGUCCUCCCUACAGGACUGGAAUGGCAGCUCUCUAACUUCGGGAAGGCACUCAGUAGCAGUAGCGUGAACCAGAGAGGCAGUCAUAGGAGGAAAGUUCCAGGCUUCAUGGAUGAAGAGCAAACAGGACAGAGUUCUGUUCAUCUUGGGCUUAUCCACAUGCCAAAUCCUGGCUUCCAGCCUUAUCCCUCUGUUCCAACUCCCUUAUUGUCUCCACUUUGGCAUCUUCUUAAUGAAUAGCUAUUUAAAAACCAACCAGAAAGGACACGCAAGUCUCGAAUCAAGGCAACUUGUUGAUGGAAGAAGACACACUAUCAGAAGAGGAGUGUCAAGGAGUAGAAUUGCUGAAGAUGGAACAUACAAAGCACCCAGAUGGAUUUGUGGUGGCUUGAGGACAAGGUUUCAGCAGGAGAUUAUACUAAUCACCGACUCGAUGGGCCUGUGAGCUUGAGUUCUACGUAGGUGUGCAGUCAUGCCAAUUUGCUAAGAAUGCACAAGCAUGCUACGAUGGUGAUGAUGGUCCCUGGAGUAGUGAAACAUGACAGUCCUGUGGGUUCAUGCUACCUGGAGGAGGGAGAAUGGUACCAUUCCCUUUAUAUUUUUAUGUAUUUCAUUUGUUUGUCUUACCUAAUUGUGUUGGCUAGUUCCUCCAGAACAAUAUAAUAAUGACAGUGGAAUCAUUUGAUGUGUUUACCUUAUUCUUGACUUCAGUGGGGACAGUGCCACUAUUGUUUCCUUUAAAGCAUGAUCAUGUUCAAGAUAUAUUGAGUUCUUUCUACUUAUUUUAAGUUUUUUCUUGUUUUUAACCAGGGGUAGGGGAGAAUUUUGAGUAUAGUUUAGUUUGAAACCAUAGGUAUCACCAUGCAAGAAAGGCAACUGUAUAUAUAGAAAAAGAAAAGGACCAGGAGUUCAACCUGAGGAAACACCUGUAAUUUAAAGGUGGAAGGAGAAAGGAAAUAAAGAAGCAAUGGGAGGAGAGUCCA
rnacentral:lncRNA from 1 species